rnacentral:rRNA from 1 species
UUGAACGCUGGCGGCAGGCCUAACACAUGCAAGUCGAGCGGAAACGGCAGUAUUGAAGCUUCGGUGGAUUUACUGGACGUCGAGCGGCGGACGGGUGAGUAACGGCUGGGAACCUGCCCUGACGAGGGGGAUAACCGUUGGAAACGACGGCUAAUACCGCAUAAUGUCUUAGUUCAUUACGAGCUGGGACCAAAGGUGGCCUCUACAUGUAAGCUAUCGCGUUGGGAUGGGCCCAGUUAGGAUUAGCUAGUUGGUAAGGUAAUGGCUUACCAAGGCAACGAUCCUUAGCUGGUUUGAGAGGAUGAUCAGCCACACUGGGACUGAGACACGGCCCAGACUCCUACGGGAGGCAGCAGUGGGGAAUAUUGCACAAUGGGGGAGACCCUGAUGCAGCCAUGCCGCGUGUGUGAAGAAGGCCUUCGGGUUGUAAAGCACUUUCAGCAGUGAGGAAGGUCGUGUACUUAAUACGUGCACGGCUUGACGUUAGCUGCAGAAGAAGCACCGGCUAACUCCGUGCCAGCAGCCGCGGUAAUACGGAGGGUGCGAGCGUUAAUCGGAAUUACUGGGCGUAAAGCGCAUGCAGGCGGUUUGUUAAGUCAGAUGUGAAAGCCCGGGGCUCAACCUCGGAACCGCAUUUGAAACUGGCAGGCUAGAGUCUUGUAGAGGGGGGUAGAAUUUCAGGUGUAGCGGUGAAAUGCGUAGAGAUCUGAAGGAAUACCAGUGGCGAAGGCGGGCCCCUGGACAAAGACUGACGCUCAGAUGCGAAAGCGUGGGUAGCAAACAGGAUUAGAUACCCUGGUAGUCCACGCCGUAAACGCUGUCUACUUGGAGGUUGAGGUUUUAGACUUUGGCUUUCGGCGCUAACGCAUUAAGUAGACCGCCUGGGGAGUACGGCCGCAAGGUUAAAACUCAAAUGAAUUGACGGGGGCCCGCACAAGCGGUGGAGCAUGUGGUUUAAUUCGAUGCAACGCGAAGAACCUUACCUACUCUUGACAUCCAGCGAAGCCUUUAGAGAUAGAGGCGUGCCUUCGGGAGCGCUGAGACAGGUGCUGCAUGGCUGUCGUCAGCUCGUGUUGUGAAAUGUUGGGUUAAGUCCCGCAACGAGCGCAACCCUUAUCCUUGUUUGCCAGCACGUAAUGGUGGGAACUCCAGGGAGACUGCCGGUGAUAAACCGGAGGAAGGUGGGGACGACGUCAAGUCAUCAUGGCCCUUACGAGUAGGGCUACACACGUGCUACAAUGGCAGAUACAGAGGGCAGCGAGACAGCGAUGUUUAGCGAAUCCCUUAAAGUUUGUCGUAGUCCGGAUUGGAGUCUGCAACUCGACUCCAUGAAGUCGGAAUCGCUAGUAAUCGUGGAUCAGAAUGCCACGGUGAAUACGUUCCCGGGCCUUGUACACACCGCCCGUCACACCAUGGGAGUGGGCUGCACCAGAAGUAGAUAGCUUAACCUUCGGGAGGGCGUUUACCACGGUGUGGUUCAUGACUGGGGUGA